CCUUCAAACGAAUCAUUGGCUUAUUUUGCUCCCGGAGUUCCGUUUCGAGCAAAGCUAAACCGACUCUGACUAUGUUCACCAAGGAAGAAUGUAGUUUGUGUGCAGAAGCCAAAGAAGCGCUGAUUCCAUUCAUGGAUAAAGAAGAACACCGGAUAAAUGAACACUGAACAACCUUGAAUGGAUAACCUAGUACUCGAGUUUCGGACUUUCCAGAAUACGUUUGUUAUCAUAAAUCUGGCAAAUCAGCCGAAUAUACGUCAUUGAUGUAAUGGAGAGUUCAAAUUUCAUCUUCGGUGAACCUAGCUGAAGAAGACUAACCAGAUUUACAAUAACAAACAUAUUUUGCAAAGUCCAAAACUCAAGGUUGUUCAUUUAUCUGGCAUUCUUCCCAGAGAUCCAUGUGCCAACUUUGGUCAGUCCAGAGAUGUAGCAGAAGACACUUUCCAAAUGCACUGUACAGUGGAACUGAACUAAGACUACAUGGAAGCAAGUGUCUUAACUAUACCACCAUGCCUGCACCUAACUUCCACAACUAAUGCAUAUACAUAUAUGUAUGUAUGUUUGUAUGCAUGGAUGGCUGGCUGGAUGGAUGGCUGGCUGGCUGGAUGGAUGUAUGUGUAUCAAUCAAUCUAUCAAGUAUUUGUGUUUUACCUACCACUGGUUGAGAACUGGUAUUAGUUUGUGUCCCCAGAAUUUAAUAUAU